UAUAUUCAUAAAUUCUGCUUCAGAAGAGAACGCCCACCAACAAAUAGCGAUAUUUCUACUGCAGAUGCACAUGAUCCAUUGCAGGAUAUACCUAUAAUAAUACAAGAUUAUGUUCCUCCUUUAAUUUCCGCUCACAUGGACGAAUCUGAAGUAUGAAAGAAAUUCUAAAGGACAUGAAGCGUAUGGUAGCGGGAUGCUGUGUGACAUAAGGGAUAACAAAAAACGUUUGAAAAAAUUUGAAGAUGCUAUCAAAAGCCGUACCUUGCAAAAACGAAAAGAAAAUGAUGACAAUUUCAUCAUGCAAUUUUUUCCUCUUAGUACAAUUACGGCUAUUAAAGAAAUAGAAAAUAUGCUGAAAACUGUGGAAGAAGCAUUGACGCAAUUCAAAAUAUUUGUAUUAAAAAUUGGCGGAAACAAUCCAAAAGACGAUGUUCAACGAAUUUUGAAGAAUAUAUUCACCAAUAAAUGUGCAAUGGAUUGCUCGUGGAGAGGAAAGAGAGAUAAUUUCAAAAUAUGUGAUUUAAAGCUAAUAAAAUUAAUGAAAAGAGAGGUUAUAUCACGCCAUAUGACGUUAACAGAAGCAGAAAACAUCGUGGCAGAAUGGUUACGUUUCGCGAAGCAGCGACUCCAGCGAGACAAUAAGAACAAAGAAAAUAUUCCUAAAGAAUAUAUUUAAGCAGAUAUGUCAACGCGUAUGGAGAUAGAAUCAUAAAAUGUUAUCAAUAUUUUAUAUGAUAUAUAUCCUUACGAAUCGACAAAUUGAAAUUAAAAUUUAAAUUAAUUGUUGUUAAUCGUUAUAAUAAUGUUUGUUGAAGCUUUACUAAAAUUUAUUUUUACUUUCAUUCUUUACCAGUCAUACGCGCACACAUUUGCUUGGUAUGAAAUUGUUUUUGAUAUUAUUUUAUAUAAAUUAUACAUACCUUUAAUUUUUGCAAUAUGAACGGUUUCAACAAUUGUUCUGAUUGC